AUUGAACGCUGGCGGCAGGCUUAACACAUGCAAGUCGAGCGAGCGGCGGACGGGUGAGUAAUGUCUGGGAAACUGCCUGAUGGAGGGGGAUAACUACUGGAAACGGUAGCUAAUACCGCAUCCCAUCAGAUGUGCCCAGAUGGGAGUAGCUAGUAGGGGGGGUAAUGGCUAACCAAGGCGACGAUCCCUAGCUGGUCUGAGAGGAUGACCGGCCACACUGGAACUGAUACACGGUCCAGAGUCCUACGGGAGGCAGCAGUGGGGAAUAUUGCACAAUGGGCGCAAGCCUGAUGCAGCCAUGCCGCGUGUGUGAAGAAGGCCUUCGGGUUGUAAAGCACUUUCAGCGAGGAGGCGUUACUCGCAGAAGAAGCACCGGCUAACUACGUGCCAGCAGCCGCGGUAAUAC
rnacentral:rRNA from 1 species